AAAAAUGAAGCAAACAUAUUGCAGUCAGUUUCGACCUGAACAUUUGGUUAUUUCCCCAUUUUUA
rnacentral:tRNA from 1 species